GAACGCGUGGCGGCGGUAGCCUAACACAUGCAAGUCGAACGAAGCAUUGCGCCCGACAAGAGGAGUGCUUGCACAAUCGGAGUCAUUGUGAUGACUUAGUGGCGGACGGGUGAGUACGCGUGGGUAACCUGCCUAUACAGGGGGAUAACAGUUAGAAAUGACUGCUAAUACCGCAGUAAGCGCACAGUAUCGCAUGAUACGGUGUGAAAAGCCGAGACGGUAUAAGAUGGACCCGCGUCUGAUUAGCCCAGUUGGCAGGGUAACGGCCUACCAAAGCAACGAUCAGUAGCCGGCCUGAGAGGGUGAACGGCCACAUUGGGACUGAGACACGGCCCAAACUCCUACGGGAGGCAGCAGUGGGGGAUAUUGCACAAUGGGGGAAACCCUGAUGCAGCGAACCGCCGCGUGAGCGAUGAAGUAUUUCGGUAUGUAAAGCUCUAUCAGCAGGGAAGAAAAUGACGGUACCUGACUAAGAAGCUCCGGCUAAAUACGUGCCAGCAGCCGC
rnacentral:rRNA from 1 species